CCUACGGGUGGCUGCAGUGGGGAAUAUUGCACAAUGGGCGAAAGCCUGAUGCAGCAACGCCGCGUGAGCGAUGAAGGCCUUCAGGUCGUAAAGCUCUGUCCUCAAGGACGAUAAUGACGGUACUUGAGGAGGAAGCCCCGUCUACCUACGUCCCAGCAGCCGCGGUAAUAAGUAGGGGGCUAGAGUUAUCCGGAAGGACGAGGCGUAAAGGGUGCGUCGGUGGUUUCUUAAGUCAGAGGUGAAAGGCUACGGCUCAACCGUAGUAAGCCUUUGAAACUGGGGAACUUGAGUGCAGGAGAGGCGAGUGGAAUUCCUAGUGUAGCGGUGAAAUGCGUAGAUAUUAGGAGGAACACCAGUUGCGAAGGCGGCUCGCUGGACUGUAACUGACACUGAGGCACGAAAGCGUGGGGAGCAAACAGGAUUAGAUACCCCAGUAGUC
rnacentral:rRNA from 1 species